rnacentral:rRNA from 1 species
CCUACGGGUGGCUGCAGUGGGGAAUAUUGGACAAUGGGCGAAAGCCUGAUCCAGCCAUGCCGCGUGUGUGAAGAAGGCCUUCGGGUUGUAAAGCACUUUCAGUGGGGAAGAAAGCCUUGGGGCUAAUACCCUCGAGGAAGGACAUCACCCACAGAAGAAGCACCGGCUAACUCCGUGCCAGCAGCCGCGGUAAUACGGAGGGUGCGAGCGUUAAUCGGAAUUACUGGGCGUAAAGCGCGCGUAGGCGGUCUGAUAAGCCGGUUGUGAAAGCCCCGGGCUCAACCUGGGAACGGCAUCCGGAACUGUCAGGCUAGAGUGCAGGAGAGGGAGGUAGAAUUCCCGGUGGAGCGGUGAAAUGCGUAGAGAUCGGGAGGAAUACCAGUGGCGAAGGCGGCCUUCUGGACUGACACUGACGCUGAGGUGCGAAAGCGUGGGUAGCAAACAGGAUUAGAUACCCUGGUAGUC